UAUUGAACUGGAUUUUUUUAUCUAUGAGAAUAAAGUAGAAUUACUUAUUAUUUUUAACAACCUCUUUCUUUUGAGUAAAAUAUUUUUAACCUACUUAAAUACUAUCAGUUGUCACCCGUGAAAUUUAUCCUUCUAAAAACACACUAUUCAAAACACGCUAUUCUCAAACUAUUUGUAAAAUAUAUAAAAAAAAAAAUUUUAUAACUGAACCUCUAUUUUAAUGAUAUCCUCAUAAUCCAAUACCUCU
rnacentral:lncRNA from 1 species